rnacentral:rRNA from 1 species
UACGGGGGGAGCAAGCGUUGUUCGGAUUUACUGGGCGUAAAGGGUGCGUAGGCGGUUCGUUAAGUCUGUCGUGAAAUCCCCGGGCUCAACCUGGGAAUGGCGAUGGAUACUGGCGAGCUAGAGUGUGUCAGAGGAUGGUGGAAUUCCCGGUGUAGCGGUGAAAUGCGUAGAGAUCGGGAGGAACAUCAGUGGCGAAGGCGGCCAUCUGGGACAACACUGACGCUGAAGCACGAAAGCGUGGGGAGCAAACAGG